rnacentral:rRNA from 1 species
GAUGAACGCUGGCGGCGUGCCUAAUACAUGCAAGUCGAGCGAACAGACGAGGAGCUUGCUCCUCUGACGUUAGCGGCGGACGGGUGAGUAACACGUGGAUAACCUACCUAUAAGACUGGGAUAACUUCGGGAAACCGGAGCUAAUACCGGAUAAUAUAUUGAACCGCAUGGUUCAAUAGUGAAAGACGGUUUUGCUGUCACUUAUAGAUGGAUCCGCGCCGCAUUAGCUAGUUGGUAAGGUAACGGCUUACCAAGGCAACGAUGCGUAGCCGACCUGAGGGGGGAAUCGGCACCCCGGAACCUAGACACGGUCCCGACUCCCACGGGAGGGAGCAGUAGGGAAUCUUCCGCAAUUGGCGGAAGCCUGACGGAGCCACCCCGCGGGGGUGAAGAAGGGCUUCCGAUUGGUAAACUCUGUUAUUAGGGAAGAACAAAUGUGUAAGUAACUAUGCACGUCUUGACGGUACCUAAUCAGAAAGCCACGGCUAACUACGUG